rnacentral:rRNA from 1 species
UACGGGGGGGGCAAGCGUUAUUCUACGUUACUGGGUGUAAAGCGUAUUAAGGUGGUUUUACAAGUUUAUAAUAAAAUCUUAAAUUUCAAAUUUAAAUCGGUUGUUUAAUACUGUAAAACUUAGAGUAUUGCGGGAGAUAGUUGUAUACUUAGUGGAGGGUUAGAAUCCAUCGAUAUUAAGUAGACAUUCAAAAGGUGAAAACGACUAUCUACAAAAUUACUGACACUGAUAUACAAAAGCAUGAGGAGCAAACAGG